rnacentral:rRNA from 1 species
GACGAACGCUGGCGGCGUGCUUAACACAUGCAAGUCGAACGAUGGAGCCGGAGCUUGCUCUGGUGAAUUAGUGGCGAACGGGUGAGUAACACGUGAGUAACCUGCCCUUGACUCUGGGAUAACUGCGGGAAACUGUAGCUAAUACCGGAUACGACCCUCGGAGGCAUCUCCUGGGGGUGGGAAGAAUUUCGGUCAAGGAUGGACUCGCGGCCUAUCAGCUAGUUGGUGAGGUAAAGGCUCACCAAGGCGACGACGGGUAGCCGGCCUGAGAGGGUGACCGGCCACACUGGGACUGAGACACGGCCCAGACUCCUACGGGAGGCAGCAGUGGGGAAUACUGCACAAUGGGCGCAAGCCUGAUGCAGCAACGCCGCGUGAGGGAUGACGGCCUUCGGGCUGUAAACCUCUUUUAGCAGGGAAGAAGCGAAAGUGACGGUACCUGCAGAAAAAGCACCGGCUAACUACGUGCCAGCCGCCGCCGUAA